AGGAUUAACGCUGGCGGCGUGCCUAACACAUGCAAGUCGAACGAGGUAGCGAAUACCUAGUGGCAGACGGGUGAGUAGCGCGUGGUCAACCUACCGUUGAGUGGGGGAUAACUAGCCGAAAGGUUAGCUAAUACCGCAGUACGUCUCCGAGGGGCAUCCCUUGGCGAUAAAAGGAGCAAUCCGCUCGAUGACGGGACCGCGUCCCAUUAGCUAGUUGGUGGGGUAACGGCCUACCAAGGCGUCGAUGGGUAGCUGGUUUGAGAGAGCGACCAGCCACACUGGGACUGAGAUACGGCCCAGACUCCUACGGGAGGCAGCAGUGAGGAAUUUUCCGCAAUGGGCGAAAGCCUGACGGAGCGACGCCGCGUGUGGGAAGAAGGCCUUCGGGUCGUAAACCACUGUCGAAGGGGAAGAUAAUGACGGUACCCUUGGAGGAAGCCCGGCUAACUACGUGCCAGCAGCCGC
rnacentral:rRNA from 1 species